CACACACACACACACACACACACACACACACAGCAGCACUCACACAAAAUCAUAUUUAAAGAUCGAUUAUUUUGUCCACCACAAAAGAAGACACUCGGAAGGAGGAAGGACUGCUGCACCACGCCGUCAAUAAAAACAAAACCAAACCCACAAGGCAAAAAAAA